AGUAGGGAAAGAGUCUGUCUUGACAGGUGAGUCUCACGUGUGGAGAUGUAGUGGGCUAGCCACUGCGGGAUACCCGCGGAGUGAAGCGUUCGAUGCUUGUCAAGACAGAUAGGUUGCGGGCAACUAGGGACAUAUUAGGGACAGCGGCAGUUGUUAUGGUAAAUAGCCAUUUUAGGGGGGACUGUUGUGGAAAUAAGGUCUGCACAUAUUUCCUAG